UUCGGCUAAACCAAGCUCCCAUCCUUCUUUUUCUUUCUUAUCAAACCCUAAAUUCCCACUUAAACCGCCGAUUCUCCUUCCCCAAACAGCAACCAACACAUUUAGACUUGAUAGAAUGAUUUUUUCAACCUAGUAAUCUCCUCUUGGCUUCGAUUUCAACUAAGCAAAAGUAGAUCCAUGGCGUAUUUUCAAGGUACAAGGCUGGAUGCAAGCGUGGCAUGCUGGUACGCGGAAGUGGAGGUCGUACGGAGGUGGCGCUAGGGGGGGCUGGGGGCUGCGGCGCGCCUAAAGAAACCCUAGUGUUUCUUAAUUUUUAACUUUAAGGCCAGUUGGGCCAUGUAUUUGUUGGGCUAGGUUUUAGGUCUUGGGUUUAGUUGGGUAUUAUGUAGUUGGGUCAGGGUCUGUAAAUGGACUAUUUAAAAGGUUUAGGCUUUAUAAAUUAUUUGCUUAUUUUUGUUUAAA